GGUCUCUCACAUCAGCGUCCGCACUAAUAAGAGCCAGCUUUGCGGUGGAGCGUGUGUGUGUUGCGUGAGGCUGUCGUGUUUGCCUGCGAUUACUCUCCUUAACCUGGCUGUGAAAGGCUGGCCGUGACCCCGUGGGGUCGGGAAGGUCAAGGACUUGGCAGCCGCGAGCGUGUGGAUGUGGGUCUCACGGUGGACGGGGGCCGAUCCUGGUCUGGAGCUAAUCACUGUUUACUAGAAUCACUUCCAUUUUUCAGCGAGCUACUGUCACGCACGGCCUCGGGAGGGAGGAGGGAAGCUCGGGGGUCUGACGGCCCGUGUGGGAUUCAGGGAAAAGGGAUGGGCUGAAAUGAACUGCAGGAACGUGAAUGCGGAUUAAACACCAGCGGUGAUCCAGAACUGAGAAUGACUGCAGUGCCAGAAACGACUGACACACAGUGUGUUCUGAUGUCUUCUGCAGAGUUUUUUCGCGUGCGAGGAUGAGUUUGCGUGCCACACCGGCCUAGCGUGCGCAGAUCCCGGUCACCGGCCCCGACCUCCCCUGGGAGGAGGAGGAGAUUAAAAUGAGAUGGAGAAGGAAAAAAAUACGGCGAGAAAUGGCUUCCAGAUGACCCCGAUUUGAGUUGCUUAGCUCAUUUGUAGCUGGCAGACAGACUUUGACAGGAACGAUUACAGCAGCCUGAAGCUCUGCAGCAGAAGCACUUCUCCAGGAUGCUGAAAAUGAAAGCCGUCAGCUGCUGGUCAUGAUGGGCUUGGCUGGGUCACUGAGAACCCCGUCCUGAACUGACAGUGAAAGUCUCUGCUUCAGCACAAAUAUAAAUAGAGAUCUGUCACUCCAUCACAUCCAUCAGAUCAGAGGAACUCAUACGGCACGCUUAAUAGUGGACGGUCAAUGUUUGCUGUGCUGCUCACACUAGUUUAAAUAUCACCAUUCAAACUGAAUUACAUCUACAUUGUGUGGUCUUAACAUCCCUUACUUCUUGAAAGAAAAAGACGUGUUCUUUAUUAUAUUUCAGUCAAUAUUUAAGUGCAUCUAAAACCAUAAAUAUGUAGACACGUUUCAUGUCACCACUCAGGAUAGUCACUAGUUUAGUAUGAUGACAAUUGUUGGCUCUAUAACAACUUGCUUGUGACAUUUCUCAAUUUUAAUUUGCUUUGGAUAAAAGCCUGAUGAAUGAAUGUAUUUCGAUUUGAUUUUCAUUUUGAUAUAACACCAUUGUAUCAGGUUUCACGUUCAUGUUAAAUUGACUUAAAAACUGUUACUCUUUGGCUUAACUCAAAGUUUUCAUUUUGAAACAAUGUCAGAAAUUGCAUACUUCCCAACUAUAUAGUAUGCAAAAAAUCAACGCUAUCUCAUGACCAAUUCGUACGUAUUUUUUACAAGGUGGCUAAUUCAUACAAAUUCGUACGACCUCACUUGUGCGAAUUCAAACGUUUUGUCUAAAUCCCAGUGAUGGGUAGGUUUAGGGGCGGGGUUAGGGGUAGGUCAUUCCUACGAAUUCACUCGUAAAAUACAUACAAUUUAGCAAAAAACGUACAGAUUUGUAUGAGUGAGGUCGUACAAAUUUGUACAAAUUAGCCACCUUGUAAAAUACGUACAAAUUGCAGUGAGAUCGGGUUGGAUUUGAUUUUCAUUUUGAUUUAACACAAUUGAAUUGGGUUUCUCGUUCGUGUUAAAUUGACUUAAAAACUGUUACUCUUUGGCUUAACUCAAAGUUUUAAUUUUGAAAUAAUGGCUGUGUCCGAAAUCGCAUACUUUUCUACUA